rfam:Acidobacteria bacterium RIFCSPLOWO2_02_FTLL_67_21 rifcsplowo2_02_scaffold_13824, whole genome shotgun sequence.
CAGUGGGUGCAAGUCCCACCCGAGCACGUGUCGGUACAGCUCGGUAGCUAUCCGGGCGGCGAGGGUGGGCAACCAUCGUCGCUGAAGCCCCGGAGACACAAGGCGCACGGAGGUGCGUCGAGCAAGCAGGCGGGCCGUAACGUGA